CAGAUUGAACGCUGGCGGCAGGCCUAACACAUGCAAGUCGAGCGGUAACAUCUCUAGCUUGCUAGAAGAUGACGAGCGGCGGACGGGUGAGUAAUGCUUGGGAAUAUGCCUUAGGGUGGGGGACAACAGUUGGAAACGACUGCUAAUACCGCAUAACGUCUACGGACCAAAGGGGGCUUCGGCUCUCGCCCUUAGAUUAGCCCAAGUGGGAUUAGCUAGUUGGUGAGGUAAUGGCUCACCAAGGCGACGAUCCCUAGCUGGUUUGAGAGGAUGAUCAGCCACACUGGAACUGAGACACGGUCCAGACUCCUACGGGAGGCAGCAGUGGGGAAUAUUGCACAAUGGGCGCAAGCCUGAUGCAGCCAUGCCGCGUGUGUGAAGAAGGCCUUAGGGUUGUAAAGCACUUUCAGUAAGGAGGAAAGGUUAGUAGUUAAUACCUGCUAGCUGUGACGUUACUUACAGAAGAAGCACCGGCUAACUCCGUGCCAGCAGCCGCGGUAAUACGGAGGGUGCGAGCGUUAAUCGGAAUUACUGGGCGUAAAGCGUACGCAGGCGGUUUGUUAAGCGAGAUGUGAAAGCCCCGGGCUCAACCUGGGAACUGCAUUUCGAACUGGCAAACUAGAGUAUGAUAGAGGGUGGUAGAAUUUCAGGUGUAGCGGUGAAAUGCGUAGAGAUCUGAAGGAAUACCGAUGGCGAAGGCAGCCACCUGGGUCAAUACUGACGCUCAUGUACGAAAGCGUGGGGAGCAAACGGGAUUAGAUACCCCGGUAGUCCACGCCGUAAACGAUGUCUACUAGGAGCUGGGGUCUUCGGACAACUUUUCCAAAGCUAACGCAUUAAGUAGACCGCCUGGGGAGUACGGCCGCAAGGUUAAAACUCAAAUGAAUUGACGGGGGCCCGCACAAGCGGUGGAGCAUGUGGUUUAAUUCGAUGCAACGCGAAGAACCUUACCUACACUUGACAUACAGAGAACUUACCAGAGAUGGUUUGGUGCCUUCGGGAACUCUGAUACAGGUGCUGCAUGGCUGUCGUCAGCUCGUGUUGUGAGAUGUUGGGUUAAGUCCCGCAACGAGCGCAACCCCUAUCCUUAGUUGCCAGCGAUUCGGUCGGGAACUCUAAGGAGACUGCCGGUGAUAAACCGGAGGAAGGUGGGGACGACGUCAAGUCAUCAUGGCCCUUACGUGUAGGGCUACACACGUGCUACAAUGGCGCAUACAGAGUGC
rnacentral:rRNA from 1 species